GUGAAUCAUCGAAUUUUUGAACGCAAAUUGCACUCUCUUCGGAGAGUAUGCCUGUUUGAGGGUAAUUAAAAAGAAUCUCUAACCAAUUUUUUUUGGUCAAAGGAAAUGAGCUCUCCGCGUUUAUAGCGGUGGCUUGAAAUAAAUGGUCAAGUAUCAUUUUAGUCGAGACGCGUAAUAAUAUUAUUUUGCGUAAUCUUCAUUAUGUGACUAUCAAGUUUUGAUGCAUACAAUCUUGGUUUGUAUGCGAUCAAUAAAUAUAUUUUGAACAUUACC
rnacentral:misc_RNA from 1 species